rnacentral:rRNA from 1 species
AGUGAACGCUGGCGGCAGGCCUAAUACAUGCAAGUCGAACGGCAGCACAGCAGAGCUUGCUCUGUGGGUGGCGAGUGGCGGACGGGUGAGGAAUACAUGGGAAUCUGCCCAGUCGUGGGGGAUAACGUAUGGAAACGUACGCUAAUACCGCAUGCGCCCUACGGGGGAAAGUCGGGGACCGCAAGGCCUGACGCGAUUGGAUGAGCCCAUGUUCGAUUAGCUAGUUGGCGGGGUAAAGGCCCACCAAGGCGACGAUCGAUAGCUGGUCUGAGAGGAUGAUCAGCCACACUGGAACUGAGACACGGUCCAGACUCCUACGGGAGGCAGCAGUAGGGAAUAUUGGACAAUGGGCGCAAGCCUGAUCCAGCAAUGCCGCGUGCAGGAAGAAGG